UUGGGAAUAUUGCACAAUGGGGGAAACCCUGAUGCAGCGAUGCCGCGUGAGGGAAGAAGGUCUUCGGAUUGUAAACCUUUGUCUUUAGGGAAGAAUAAAUGACGGUACCUAAGGAGGAAGCCAUGGCUAACUACGUGCCAGCAGCCGCGGUAAUACGUAGAUGGCGAGCGUUGUCCGGAAUUACUGGGCGUAAAGGGAGCGUAGGCGGUUUGGUAAGUUGAAUGUGAAAUGUAUGGGCUCAACCCAUAAACUGCGUUCAAAACUACUGGACUUGAGUGGAGUAGAGGCAGGCGGAAUUCCCGGUGUAGCGGUGGAAUGCGUAGAUAUCGGGAGGAACACCAGUGGCGAAGGCGGCCUGCUGGGCUCUAACUGACGCUGAGGCUCGAAAGCAUGGGGAGCAAACA
rnacentral:rRNA from 1 species